AAAAUUUUACAUAAUUAACACAAUCAAGUAUACAUGAGCGGGAAAAAUCUACACAAGGUUGUGCUGACGGUGCACACGCGCCAGCUAGUAUGCAGGAUCAUAUUUCGUCUGGAAGAUUUCACAACGUGGGAAUGGAAUAAGUUGGAUCAGCAGAAUUAUUUAGA